rnacentral:rRNA from 1 species
UACGGGGGGGGUAAGCGUUGUUCGGAAUUACUGGGCGUAAAGGGUGCGCAGGCGGUCCUGCAAGUCAGGCGUGAAAUCCCCGGGCUUAACCUGGGAAUGGCACUUGAAACUACGGGACUGGAGUAUGGCAGAGGGAGGUGGAAUUCCACGUGUAGCGGUGAAAUGCGUAGAGAUGUGGAGGAACACCGAUGGCGAAGGCAGCCUCCUGGGCCAAUACUGACGCUCAUGCACGAAAGCGUGGGGAGCAAACAGG